CCGGCAAUAUCACACUGAAACGCCGGUUCUCGUACGACCGUCGAAGUUAAGCAAUGCCGAGGUUGGUUUAAUGCCUAGAUGGGUGACCGCUUGAGAAUACUAGGUGCUGUAAG